rnacentral:rRNA from 1 species
GAUGAACGCUAGCGGCAGGCCUAAUACAUGCAAGUCGAACGGGAUCCAGAUCAAAGCUUGCUUUGGUCUGGUGAGAGUGGCGCACGGGUGCGUAACGCGUGAGCAACCUACCCUUGUCAGGGGGAUAGCCCGGCGAAAGUCGGAUUAAUACCGCAUGACAUCAUUGAGAGGCAUCUUUCGAUGAUCAAAGAUUUAUCGGACAAGGAUGGGCUCGCGUGACAUUAGCUAGUUGGUAAGGUAACGGCUUACCAAGGCUGCGAUGUCUAGGGGCUCUGAGAGGAGAAUCCCCCACACUGGUACUGGGACACGGACCAGACUCCUACGGCAGGCAGCAGUAAGGAAUAUUGGUCAAUGGACGGAAGUCUGAACCAGCCAUGCCGCGUGCAGGAGGACGGCCCUAUGGGUUGUAAACUGCUUUUAUACGGGAACAAACGUCGGUACGUGUACCGGUCUGAGUGUACCGUAAGAAUAAGGAUCGGCUAACUCCGUG